GCCUGCCUCCUUCUCAGGGUCACACCCAUAGCGUUCCUCUGGCAAGUUUUGCAACUCUUGCCUGUUAGGAUGCUUAGCUGCUCCUUUCUCUGCAGCUUGCAGGACAUUGACCCCUCUCUGCCCCUCUCCGGGGCUGGAAAUACCUCUGGGCAGCCUCCCUCCUUCAAUCCAGAGUGAGAUGCUGCUCUGGAAGUGCGGUGACUGUUUCUCUUCCCUUCUGGUUUCCAGCUGCAGCCCUGUUGGCCCUGAAUGCUAUAUUGACCCUGCAGAGGCAAGAGACAGAAGGUUUUUGUGAGACUUUGCAACAUUUGAAAGAUAAGAAGCUCUGCUACAGGGGCCCUGUGCUGCCUAGCCUAAGAUUGGAGAUCAGCUGUGUGUGGGUGGCCAGGGACCAACCCAAGUUGGCCAGACAGGCCUGGGCUCAGAUGCCAAGGAGGAGAUCACCAGGAUCUACACCUUCCUCAGUGUAUGAGUAUGAAAGGCCUGUGACUAGACAGCUGUGGGGACACAGGUUUCUCAAUAAAGGAGCUGCAGCCUCACACAGGGGAGAGGCACCAGUUGGCAGCCAGGAUGCACUUCCAGGGUCAUCGCCAGUCUCAGCUGGGGCCCUGUGUAUGCACCAACUCUGACAGUGCAGGACCCAGGACCACACCCAACUGCUGGACCACCUGGUCACAGUGGCCAAGGAGUUCCUGGUGAACUUGCAGGCCUGCCAAGUGGAGGAAAUCACCAAGAGUGGGAAUGGGAUCCAUACAAGGAGGAGAGGCUCAUGUGUGAGGAGGAGAGAGGCUCACAGGCAAGGAGGAGAGGGACUGGUGGAGGGACCAGGUGGACCAAGAAUUCAGGGACAUGAUCCUGGCCCUGGGGGACAGGUGGCAGGCUGCCCUAGUGGCCAAGGCAGUGGAGGCCAUGGAAGAAGACUGCCAAGUGCUGUACACCAUCCUGGCCUUGGCAGUUGCCUUCAUGCCACCUGCUGCCCAGUCACUGGCUGCAGCCCUGCCUGGCCACAAGCCCUCUUGUGGUCCUGGGCUGAGAUGCAGCAGCACCUCCACCAGCCAGGAGACCCUGCCCUGAGCCCACCCCAAGUCUCCCACCACACAAUCCCUCUGCCUGGGUCCAGCCCCACCUCUCACCCCAGCUCCAUGUGUCCUGGAGCAUGACCUGCCUGCAGGACGGAUAGGAAUAUGCAUGGGCCUUGCUGGCCUAGCCUGCUGGCUUCAGGAGUGGGAGCCACCUGAGCCAGCAGAGCAGUGCCCACCAUUGCCCCUGGGUGAGCCCUCCACCCACCAGACUCACCACAACAUGUACACCUACAGGGUUAUGACCAGAGGCCAUGGUUCUGCUUGUCUGUCCCUAGGCUCCACCCCCUAGGCACCCUCACCCCACUGCCCCUCACCCCAGGGCAGCACACACAACAUGCACUAGACAGGGUCUUCACAGGGAAGAAGAUGUUUUAUUGGUAGUGGAUGGGGUGAGUGGGGUGGAAAGUGGAGGAGAAAAGGACAGGAUCUGUUGUGGGGAAGGGAGGGGGAUCAGGCUAUAUCAAUGUGGAGAGAGGGUGGAGGGGGGU